CUCCCUUUUCUUCUUCAUCAUUUGGAGCGAGUAGAGCUUGCCCUAGACUCUACCCAUAUUCUCCAAAUCGGCACUCCUCUUCUCCAUGAUCCUUACCAUUCCCCUAAAAAUCUUUUUCUCUCCACACAUUUGAUCUCUUGAGAUCUUUGCUUGCUCUGGUUGUGGAAAUGGCUCCGAAAAUGAAGCUCCCACAAAGAAGAAAAUCAAUCUGCG
rnacentral:lncRNA from 1 species